AUGAGCUGUCGGACACUGGUCGGGCUAGGGCCUGAGCGUCUCGGGCCAGGGCCGGGCUCGGGCCUAGAUUUGAGGCCCGUGCAGGGCUCUAAGAAAAUGCUAAACCGCCGGCGAAAUAUUCCUAUCAUGCCCGAGCGAUGCUGUGCAGUUGGAUGCGAUCAGAUACGUGAUCAUACAAAAGGAAUAUCUUUAUACCAAUUGAAAACCAAACAGGCAGAUCACAACCACAGAUCUUUUCCUGCAUUUUUUAAAAAUGCUGGCAAAAAUAAAAAACAUCUUGCCAGAUGUCACAGGCCAACAGUACCAGCAAAGGCUCAUAAAUAUUUUGAUUGUUCUGUGUCUUUGCUGGGAUCUAAAUCCGAUACAACCCCAUCUAUAUCCGAAGAGCUAGAGCUCAUGCAAGCAGGGCUAGGAAAGAGGACCCUGUCCUUAACAUCAGAUACAACACAUGCCGAGUUAUCAAGUUUGCUGCGGGAAGCAUACUCAAAAAUGGUGGCUUCUUUUCAAAGCUGCAGGUGUGUACAACUUUUUAUCAACAUUUUAUCAACAUUUGGUGUUAAAAUUCAUUAA
ensembl:lncRNA